rnacentral:lncRNA from 1 species
GAAAAGCUUUCUCAAGGUAUGUUGCCGUGGCACGGCGCAGAGGUAUCAACUCCACCCAUUUGGAAAACAUAUCUAAGAAGGCUAGUAACACUGUGUUACCUUGUUUGGAUCUCGGCAGUGGUCCAACGAAGUCGGCGCAAAUGGUAGCGAAAGGCUCGCUUGCCUGUCGUGUUAGCAUCUUCCCUGCAGGCUUGGCUUGUUGCGUCUUGAACUUUUGGCACACAGCACAUUUCCUUACGUAGCGAGCGACGUCUCUGAAGAUUCCGGGCCAAUAAUAUCUUUGACAUACCCUUGUCGUUGUCUUGCGUAUUCCCAGGUGUCCCGCGCUUGUUUGGUAGUGGCAUUCUUGCAGCACACGCUGCCGUUGUUCCUUGC